rnacentral:rRNA from 1 species
ACUGGCGCCGUUGCUCUUGGGUUGGUGCUAACCCUGUGCUUCGCAACCAGUGGUUUUAGCAAGACGGAGUGGAUAGUCGGAGGUCAAAAGGGAUGGACCUUUGGUGUUCAUGGCUGGGAGAGGAACAAGACCUUCUACCCUGGUGACGUGCUUGUGUUCAAGUAUAAUCCGAAGAUGCAUAACGCGAUGAUAGUGAAUAAAGAUUUUUUUUUGACUGGCAAUGGUUCUGUCGGGGACGAUACAUAUACCUCUGGCUACGACAAGCUCGAGCUCAGUAGCCAAGGCCCGAUGUACGCCAUCAGCAGCAAACCUGGAGACUGUGAGGGUGGAAUGAAGCUUGAAGUU